CCGCGACCCCAGGUCAGGUGGGAUUACCCGCUGAGUUUAAGCAUAUAAAUAAGCGGAGGAGAAGAAACUUACAAGGAUUCCCCUAGUAACGGC
rnacentral:rRNA from 1 species